UCGGAUUGGUAAUAUAUUCAAAAAGGAAGGUGGUAUUUUUAACACCUCAUAUAUAGAUCACUUAAUAACACCAUGUACAAAACUCAAGGUGUAACGUUGAAUUAUGUUCUAUAGAGAUUUAUUGUGAAUAGUCAUGCUAAUACACCCCAUGAUAUGGCAUUGUUAUUAUUUUUACCAAAUCUGCACUGAUAUUUGCUUAGCUAGUUAACAUCACAGUUUCCUUUAUUGGAGCCUUGGAGUAGUCUAUGCACAUUGUACACCUGCACAAUUUGCCAACAAUAUGAGCCUCCCAAUUGCAUUCCUUGUUCUCAGGGCACAUAAGGAUUCGGUGGCAAUCUUCCUGACAACCACCAAACUUCUUUAGGUAUUUAAACGUACACCUUCGUUUUGUAUUCGCAUCUACAAAAUAUUACCAAUAAGAAGCAAUCCAAAUCAUGAAAAGAACAGUUUUGUUGAUUGGGUUGAUGCAACACUCUUGGAGGAACUGAUUAAACGUACUUAAUGCUAGCACGAGAAAGGCGAGUGUCAGGAGUAGCGUCAAAGCUGCAAUCUCCAUCCUAACUUGUAUGUGCCGUUGGUAGGAAAGUGACUGCUUGUGAGCCUUGAGGAAGAGAAAAUGAUAUGGCAACCAUUUUUAUAGUAGGUUUGAUAUUAAUGCUCAUUAUUGUAAUACGAAAAUAGCAUGAAAAGAAAGAUUGGAUAAGUUAUGUCGUAUUAAAAGCAAUUAAGUGGACUUCAGGAUAAGAUAUGUACAGACGCUUUGUAGCAGAGCAAAGAGACGAAAUUAAGAGAUUGCACAUUUGAGCAGACGUUUUCACAUGAAAAAGAUAGACAAAAGAAAAACAUCUAUCUAUACAGUUACUAAACUCCCUUGAAAUAAGGUCUCCUAGUGAAUCCAGGGUGUGAAAAGUGCAUGUGCCCUGGGUGACAGUGGGUGAGGCGUGGUGGUGGGAAGCUCGGUCCCUUGCGUGUCCAGUUUUCUUGUGUACAUGCGAAGUUCGCUUGCUGGUCCCUUGCAUGUUGCUUCAUCUAGCAAAGAAAGAAAAAGGUCGUUACCACACCCAGCUAAUAAAAGAAUCUCAAAGAGCAAAACUGAUUGAACAAAGAAAAUGUCAGGAAUAAAUUAGGAUGUGUCUAUUAUAUUCAUAACUAAAAUGUAUUAAUUAAUGAAUCAUCAUUCCUGUGACCAAUCCAAAGUAGUGAUGUCCCUUUUUCUUUUAACAUUUAUAACUGUCAUCUCUUGGAGGCAGCUUCUCCCUAUGUAUAGAUACCUUUUCUAUCAAUGGAAUUAGAGAGGGUAGCUCUCUCUCUCUCCCUCCCCUGACUAUUCUACUUGCAUUUUUCAGAUAUAUGAUCUUUUACUUUUAUUCAAAUUUACCUCCAUGGUCAAACUUCCCGAAAGGCCACCCAUCCUCACACUACUCCAGCCCAAGCACGCUUAACAUCAGAGUUCUAUCCAACCCCAGCACCAGCUCACUUCAGAGGCACUUGUUGAUAUAUCUAGCAUAUCAAUCCAAUUAAACCGUGUUGAUGUUUAGGACUUUGUUCAUGUUCAUGAGUGUGAUGAAAUUUUGAAAAAUUAUUUCAAACUUCCGUUCAUAUUACGUAUCAUAUUUCAAACAGUGCACCACUAGUAAGUUUGAUAUUUUUUGAAUUUUUUUGCCUCUAGAUCUUGAAAGCCCUGUAACUUUUUUUCUGUUAGGUUUUUCAGGAUUUUGAAAAUGUUUAACGGGGUUCCCCCCAGUAAGAUCGGAUGUAUUUUUAACGGGGUUCCCCCGUUAAGAUCGGAUUGGUAAUAUAUUCAAAAAGGAAGGUGGUAUUUUUAACACCUCAUAUAUAGAUCACUUAAUAACACCAUGUACAAAACUCAAGGUGUAACGUUGAAUUAUGUUCUAUAGAGAUUUAUUGUGAAUAGUCAUGCUAAUACACCCCAUGAUAUGGCAUUGUUAUUAUUUUUAGCAAAUCUGCACUGAUAUUUGCUUAGCUAGUUAACAUCACAGUUUCCUUUAUUGGAGCCUUGGAGUAGUCUAUGCACAUUGUACACCUGCACAAUUUGCCAACAAUAUGAGCCUCCCAAUUGCAUUCCUUGUUCUCAGGGCACAUAAGGAUUCAGUGGCAAUCUUCCUGACAACCACCAAACUUCUUUAGGUAUUUAAACGUACACCUUCGGUUUGUAUUCGCAUCUGCAAAAUAUUACCAAUAAGAAGAAAUCCAAAUCAAGAAAAGAACAGUUUUGUUGAUUGGGUUGAUGCAACACUCUUGGAG
rnacentral:lncRNA from 1 species